UACCACUGAACUACAUCCCAACUAUUUUAAUCUAAUAGAAUUAUAGUAAUGCUCUGUGUAGUUCUCCUGUCCUUAAAAUUAUAUCUUAUCAAGUUCUCUUUAUUGUAACAUAAAUCUACCUCAUUCUUUUUAACUUCGGUGAAUAUUUCUUAGUAUGAGCAUACCAGAAUAUAUUUUAACUGUUUCUUUAUCAAGAGAUAUUAAAGUUGUUUAUAGUCAUUUGCUACAAUAAACAAUUCUACAGUGACGAUUUUGCAUAAAUGCAUAUUUGCUUUGUGCAGAAAUCAAAGAUGUUCUUAAGGUUGAUUUCUUGUAGCAGAAUUGCUGAAUCAAGGGAAGAAUGCAUUUAAAUAUUUGUACAAGCUGUGAGAGAGGCUGUAUUGAUAUCUCUUUCCCAACAGUGCAUUUGUUAGAGGCUAUGAAGUCAUUCUCCCUGUGCAACUGGAGCCUCACCAGGAUGUGCAUGAGCAGCCAAGGAAUGGUUUCAGCCUAAUUUAUUUUUAGAGUACAUACACUGGACUCUUCUGCAAUUGAAAGCAGACCUUUGAUUCCUGAGUUGCAGAUUCUGACCCAGAAGGAGAAUGAUAUGCACUCCUUGUGCAUUAUGGUUCCUGAGAUACCCAGCUAAGUGAGAGCUUGUCACAGAAGGCAAUGGCAUUCUAUCCUCUAACAGGGGACUCUUAGAAGACUAAAAGUUUUUGCAAACCACACAGAGGCCUCUUCAAUGGUGGAAUUUUCAAUCCCACGAUGCCAAUAUUGGCAACCCGUGUGCCAUCCUCUGAGUCACUUUUGCUGAUAUCAAACACAGCGGUAGAAGUCCUAGGUGCCAAGAAUGCAGCUAUGUUCCACAAAGACAUUUUGUCCUCCUUUCAGUAUUCCUGCCAGAGCUGGUGAUAACAUAGCCAGCAAUGUCAAUGGUAUUAAAAUCUGCAGUGACAUCCUUUGGAUGUGCUUAAAGAGUUCCAAAAGUCUUGAGAAGGUGAAUAACUCUAAUAAGUUUACCUCUUUAGUUUUUUGAGUCUGUACAUCUUUGCUGCCUGAAAAUCAACCAGUAGACGCAAUACUUCCUGAGUUAUGAUACAAGUGGUGGAUUCACAAUUGGUGAAUGCAUUUUGGCAUAUGGGAUGCUUAUUAAAGAAGUCUGGAAAUGACAUGAAAAAUGAUUUGACAAUCUUGUGUAAUUGAUUGGUAACAGCAAGAUAUUUGGGGUUUUCUAGCUUGAAUUUAUUUUCCAGUGAUGGAAUUAAUGCAUAUUCACUAGAACAUAAAAUUACAAAGAAAAGAUAUAUCAAAGAAAACUUCACUCUUUAAAACCUUUGUUUGGAAGCAUAGAACAACCAUCCAAAUGCCUUCCAUAUCUGUAUACUCAACCUAGUUAAUAUUGUAGAACAAAUAAGAAAGAAAAUAAUACAUGUGAUAGAAUAAUCUUCUAAAUAAAAAGAGAGUUUGGUUUCCUUUUUUUAA